GCAAUAAAUGUCCUAAAGGCAACCAUGUGGGGGAUGGAGUACACCGGUGAACACAUCGUUCACAAACACCUACAGGUUGCGAGCCUGCUAGUGUUCCACUGGACUGUCUAGAAGAGUCCGUGGUUGUCAUCCGUACUCUGCUAGAUGACAGAAUCAACAACAUCAACAUCGAGGCCUCUCAUCAUUUUAUCACACAUCACCUAUUACAUCUACCCAUGUUUUACCCCAACAUUUUCAUAGAUAUAAAAUACAUAUACAGUUUAAAUCAUUGAAAACAUGUAUAAAAACGUUCAUCCAACAUAGAUAGCAAGUAUUCAGAUAAUAUGCACACAUAGCAUGUAAUUUACAUAAAAUACUUCAUAUUUAUGUGUAAGCUGAAAGUAACUAUGCACUCACCUGAAAGGUGGUGACUCAGCACUCGGACAGCGCUUCGAUACUCUCAAAACAAUUUUCCUUCGAUAAAACCUAGUACCAAUACUACUAGGGUUUAGUCUAAUGAUAACCACGACAAAUUAAUAGUCUGACUAUUAUUAUUAUUAUAUAAUUGUUUAAUAACACACAAUAUAACUCAUAAUAAUUGCCCAAAUAAUUAUUUUAAGGACCUAAUAACAUUUCUAUAAUUAUUUGAAAGCUAUAUUAAAAAUUGUGUAAGCGUAGCUCACUUACAGUGGAUUUUAAAGAAAACCGGAACUUUAUUUGGAGCAGCGUUUCGAAAAUCGAAAGACUCUUUUUCUCGGUACUCCGGGAGCCUCGGGGCUUCCUUCAGGUGCUAGGGGUUCACCUAGAAUUUAAGGGAAUCAAAAGGGGCUAGAGAGAGAGAGAGUGAGAUUUGGUGCAAGAAAACCGGCUGCCCUCACUGCCUUUUUAUAGCCUACGAGGCCUCGGACUACGCUGGGUGUAGUCCUUGGCUACACGGGGUGUAAGGCUCGGAUAAGGCUUCCAGCUGGCUUCGAACGUGGACCGAUCUCGGAGUGGAUAUGAACCGGAGUACGCGGGGCGUAGCAAAGCGAUGUGUCAUCAUCCGAAGCGAGCACCGUGGUCAGCAAGCGACAGCUCAGAUGCAGCCACAUCAUCGAUUUAGCAACAGACUUCGCAAUUUUACUUUCCGACUUCUAAAAAUCAUAACUUUCGCAUACGAGCUCCGUUUUUGACGUUCUUUAUAUCCACGCGAAGGUGGGAACAUACUCUACAACUUUCGUUUAGACUCUGUUGGCUAAUUUUGACUCUAUUUUAAAAGUUAUAUCAUUAACAUGCCGGGACAGGAUUGGUCCGUUAAAUUCUCAUAACUUCUUCAUUCAACGUCCGUUUUCGCCCAUCUUUUUCUCGUUAUGCUACUCUUAACGAGAUUUUCGAUUCUUGUUUAGGUUGCGUCGGCUAAAAACUGCUUGAUCUAAUAUUCGAAUUUCGGGCUGUACACUGCUAAACCGAAACUUCAAAAAAUCAUAACCUCCUUAUACGAAGUCAGAUUUGGGCGUUCUUUUUACGGACGCUCUUGGGUUAACGUAUUCUACGACUUUCAUUUAGAUCACUAAGGCUAAAUCUCACUCUAUCGUAAAUUCACUAUUUACGCUUUCCGGUAUCGUGCCGUUUCCGUCGCGAAACUUCGACGGGUAAUAACUUCUUCGUUAUAACUCGGAUUUCGGCGUUCUUUAUAUCCCCGGAAUCCUUGUUUCGACCACUACAACUUUAUAUAAAGAUACCGGGCUUAUCUCACACUUGAAUUUUGACGCUUAUUUUUAUCUUUUAUUUAUUAAAUAUUUAUAAAUAAAUAAUAAGCAUAAAAAUUCACAUAGUUCACGUAAUACUCAAAUAUUUCAUCUUUAUUAUUUCAAAAAGAGUUACAAUAGUUGACCUAGACUAUUACAUUGUCUAAAAAUGCUUAGCCCUGAAACCCGGGUGUUACAAUUCUCUCCCCCUUAGGAUGAUUCCGUCUCGGAAUCAUGCAUCAGGAAACAGAUGUGGAUAACGACUCAUCAUGUCAUCCUCUGUUUCCUAAGUGAGAUUCGGCCCAUUCGAAUGUUUCCAUCAAACUAGCACUAAGUCGACCAUCUUGCGUCGUAACUUCUUAGUCUCACGGUCAACAAUUGCCUCAGGCUCUUCAAUCAGCCUCUUAUUAUCAUCCAUCCUUAAUUCUGAGAUUGGAAUUAUGUCGGGAACAUCUCCCAUGAAUUUCCUCAAAUAACACACAUGGAAGGUGUUAUGAAUACCAUCGAGUUCUUUGGGCAAUUCCAGCUUGUAAGCUUGGUUCCCAAUCUUCUGAAGAACUUUCAACGGUCCAAUAAACCUUGGACUCAACUUUCCUUAUUUCCCGAAUUGUAUAAGUCCCUUCCACGGUGAGAGUUUAAGCAAAACCGAAUCCCCAACUUUGAAGGUUAUCGAUCGUCUUUUCUUGUCAGCAUAGCUCUUCUGACGAUCUUGAGCUGCUAACAUUCUUUCUCUGAUCACUUUCAACGUCUCUGCAGUCUCAUGGACUAUCUCGGGGAUCAUAAACUGCUUCUCUCUGGCUUCAAGCCAACAAGACGGCGUACGACACUUCUGUCCAUACAAGGCUUGAUUAGGUGCCAUCUUGAUGCUCGAGUGAAAACUAUUGUUGUAGGAAAAUUCUACCAGAUGUAAGUGCUCGUCCCAGUUUCCUUGGAACUCAAGGGUACAUGCUCUCAACAUAUCUUCCAGUGUCUGAAUCGUUCUUUCGCUCUGGCCAUUAGUUUGCGGAUGGUAAGCAGUACUCAAACACAACUUUGUACCCAACUCGUCUUGUAGACUCCUCCAAAACCUUGACGUGAAACGACUAUCACGAUUUGAUACAAUCGUAAGAGGAACACCGUGAAGUCUUACAAUUUCCUUCACGUAAGCAUUUGCGAGCUUAUCCAUAGACCACUUCUCGUUGGCUGCUAUGAAGUGUGCACUCUUGGUGAAACGAUCCACGGCUACCCAAAUCAUGUCGUGUUCGUUCUUUGUCUUGGGCAGUUUAGUCACAAAAUCCAUGGUGAUGUCUUCCUAUUUACCCAUGGGUACAGGUAAAGGUUCUAAACUCCCAUACAGUUUUUGAUGUUGUGCCUUAACUCUCGCACAUGUCACGCACUCGGCCACAUACUUCGCAACAUCGAGCUUCAUUGUCGGCCACCUGUAGUAGGGUUUUAGGUCCCUAUACAUUUUAGUGCUACCGGGAUGAAUCGAGUACAUGGUCUGGUGUGCUUCUUCCAUCAGAAGGUCUCUUAUUCCUCCCAUCUUAGGUACCCAGAUUCGAUCUUGGAAUACCUUUAGUCCUCGACUGUUUGUACCGAACACUAACAUUUUUCCCAAACGUUCUAUCUUUCGGUCAUUCUUCUCUAAAGCUUCUUCUUGAGCUUUCCUGAUACUUUCCACAAUCGUCGAGACGACCUCGAUUCUCAACGCUCUUGGCAUUUUCCUUUCAAGGUUGACUUUCCGACUGAGAGCAUGAACAACAACAUUUGCUUUACCGGGGUGGUAAAGUAUCUCACAGUCGUAGUCCUUGAGUAAAUCUAACCAGCUUCGUUGCCUCAUGUUCAAUUCUUUAUGAUUAAAGAGAUACUGGAGACUCUUAUGAUUAGUGAACAACUUGCACUUCGUGCCGUAGAGGUAAUGCCUCCAUAUCUUUAGGGUAAAUACUACCGCCGCCAACUCCAAAUCGUGAGUGGGGUAGUUCUUUUCGUGCUCUUUCAAUUGUCGGGAUGCAUAUGCUAUCACCUUUUCUCUUUGGGUCAGAACACAACCCAAUCCGACUCCAGAUGCAUCACUGUAAACUGUGAAGUCUUCAACUCCAUCGGGUAGAGAAAGUAUCGGUGCUUCACAUAACUUCUUCUUUAGGUUCUCGAAUGCCUCAUCGUGUUUCUCACUCCACGUAUAUGUAGCUCCUUUGUGGGUCAAAGCUGUUAAUGGAGCAGCUAUCAAAGAAAAUCCUUGGAUAAAUCGUCGGUAGUACCCAGUUAGUCCUAGAAAGCUUUGGAUCUCUGUGGGACUUUUCGGACGUUCCCACUUCAUCAUAUCCUCGAUCUUUGCGAGGUCAACCAUUAUCCCUUCUUGGUUAACCAUGUGACCCAAGAACUGGACUUCUCGUAUCCAAAAGUCGCAUUUGGAGAACUUAGCAUAAAGCUUCUCCUCCUUUAAUACUUCCAACACUUCUCGUAGAUGCUUGCCAUGCUCCUCUUGGCUUUUCGAGUAGAUGAGAAUGUCGUCGAUGAACACUAUCACAGAUUUAUCGAGGAAUGGUUUACAAACCCUAUUCAUCAAAUCCAUGAAUGCUGCGGGAGCAUUGGUUAGUCCGAAUGACAUAACCAAGAACUCGUAGUGUCCAUAUCUUGUUCUGAAUGCAGUCUUCUCAAUAUCCUGCUCUCUCACCUUCAGCUGAUGAUAUCCUGACCUAAGAUCGAUCUUUGAGAAGUAGCUCGAACCUUGCAGCUGAUCGAAUAGGUCAUCAAUCCUCGGCAAUGGAUACUUGUUCUUCACCGUUGCCUUAUUCAGCUCUCGGUAGUCUAUACACAUUCUCAUGCUUCCGUCCUUCUUCUUUACGAAUAACACGGGAGCUCCCCAUGGUGAUGAACGAGGUCGAAUGAAACCGUUGUCCAACAACUCCUGAAGUUGCGUCAUGAGCUCCUUCAUCUCCGUCGCUGCUAAUCGGAAAGGUGCCUUUGCUAUCGGUGUUGUGCCUGGUAACAAGUCUAUACGAAACUCCACUUGCCUAUCAAGUGGUAAUCCGGGAAGAUCUUCAGGAAAGACUUCCGGAUAAUCAUAUACGAUUGGUAUAUUUUGCACCUCUUUCUUCUCCUUCUUAGCAUCAAUUACGAAUGCCAAGUAUGAUGCACAUCCUUUGGACAAACAUUUCUUGGCUUUCAUCAGGGAGAUGAUUCCAGAAUUCACUCUGCGUUUGUUCCCGUACACCAUAAAUGAUUCCCUUCCGGGUGGGUUUACCUUUACUAUCUUCUUUCGGCAUUGAAUCUCAGCAUCGUUGGCGCUAAGCCAAUCCAUACCCAAAACGAUGUCGAAACCGUUUAACUCUAUGGGUAAUAGCUCUUCGUGGAAUUCGUUUCCGUUUAGGUCGAUGACGAUGUUCCUAAUACGAUUACUAACAGGUACGAAUUUGCCACUGGCAACUUCUACAAUCAGGGCAUUAUCAAGUUUUUCUACAGGCAAUGCUAAUUUCCCACCAAAUUUAUGUGACACAAAGGAGUAGUUGGCUCUGGAAUCAAAUAGUAUAUUUGCAGGCAAACCAUUUACAAGAAAGGUACCUGAAGCGACGUCUGCUGCCUCCUUCGCAGCCUCAAGUGUCAUCUGGAAGGCCCUCGCCUUCGGCUUCGGAGGUAUGUUGGGUCUUCCUGCCUCCUUCUUCUUCGGGCAAACCUUUGAAAUGUGCCCCUCCUCAUUGCACUCAUAACAGACCUUCUUAGUGAACGUGCAUUCGUUGGCAUAGUGCCCAGGCUUUCCACACUUGAAACAAGUGACUCCUCCAUCACAUUUCCCCCGAUGCUUCUUCUUGCAUUUGUUGCACCAUUUUGCUUCGGUUCCUCCUCCGCUCGAACCAGACUUCGAGAAUUUACCCUUCAUACCGAACCUCAAGGAUCCGUCAAAUUUCCUCUUCUCUCCCACCUCUGCUCUCUCCAGACCCUUCUCUCGUAUCUAGGUCUCCACAUUUUUAGCAGCCCAGAUGGCGGCUUUCAGAGUGGUAGUUUGCUUGACCAUUGGAGCGAAGUCUGCUGGUAAUCCAAGUGCAAAAUUGUUAACCUUGGAGAGUUCAGUUGGGAUGAGGUGAGGAACAAGCUUCAUUUUCUUAGUAAAGCUGGCAGCGUAUUCAGUAACGCUCAUUCUUCCCUUCUUCAGGUUUUGGAAUUCGUUGUUGAUCUCCAGAAGAUCAUGCUCAGAGCAGUAUUGCAUCUUCAACUGUACCAGAAAAUCCUCCCACGACAUCUUGCUUGCUUCACCUUUGGGCAUUGAAUCAGCUAGUAGCUUCCACCAACUUAGUACUCCAGAUUUCAACAGAGGAACCGCGAGAGCGGUCUUCUGCCUGUUGCUACACUCGCAACUCUCAAAAAUCGUCUCCAUCUCAGAGAUCCAGUUCAUGACUUCCACCGGCGUCGGGCUUCCAGAUAGACUCGGUGGUUUGGACGCCAUGAAAUCCUUGUAUUUGCAUCCAUGUCCGUCAUUCCCUCCAUCCUGGUGGUUUUGCCUAACUAUCGGUGGGUUGGCUUGACCAAUAGUCCCACUGUAGUUUCCCUCCUCAGUCUGCCCUUCAUUCAACUCGGGCUAUUCGAUCUGUAUGGUCACUUCCUCUCGAUUUUGCUGGAGCAAACGUCUGGUUUCCUCCAUUUGACGAUCCAACAUCGCCUGGNCUGGAUCAUCGCUUGCCCUCCAGCCAUCGUUAUUGGCUCAGCAGUGGCUUCCACAACCGGUAUUUGCUCAAUCAUAGGGGGUUGGUUUCUGUUCCCAUAUGCAUUCAUGUUUCCGCUACGGGUCCUUGCCAUCUUGAUCUAUACACCGAAUAUGGUGAAUUUAGAUCUUUAUUUAGGAUAGACGUUUAAAUCAUCCUUAUCCGUCUGAAACGUUUACAUGCUAGUUCUAAUAUCGUAGUUAAAUGCUUAGAAUCCUAAACACAUAAGGUUUCCAGAUCCGGUCGGCAAUAGACCAUAGAUCCGAACAAAUAACAGCAUAUCAGGCACAAGCAUUUAGCACAUAAAAGCAUUUUAGGCACAAUUCCUAAAAUAAGCUAGUGCUCACACCUCACAAUCAUCGCUUAGCAUUCUAAGUUUAAGUCUAGAAAUCCUACAAAUUCCUAGUUCGCUUAAACUAAUGCUCUGAUACCAACUGUGACAUCCCCAAAAUCACGGCCAGAAAAGACCGGUUUGUUUAUGCUUUGUUUAAAAAUCAGAGUUACAUUUUAAAUGAAAGUGUUGCGGAAUUUGUCCCAAAACAAAAAUAUGAUAAAGAUUUAUCAAAAGCAUUUCCAUAGAAAUGUAUUUCAUUAAAAGACUCGGGAUGUCAUGUUCGUACAGAUCAAAAGCAUAAACAGUACAAUAUAAGCCUUACUACAUUAUUUCAUAUCUACAGGCCUAUAUCCGUAAUCCCUCGUCCAAAACAUCACAUCUAUGCUCAUGCGCCACUACCUGUAAUACAUAAAACUGAGUGGGUCAGGCUUGGGAGCCUGGUGAGCACAUAGGGUUUUCAACCCACAAUAAAUAAGUUUAUUAAUUUCAUCAAUCAACAAUAACCCGAUUACCCGUUCCCGUUAUCCUCACUUUACGUCCCUAAACACCUAUCAUAAGGGACCUAGCCUAAGGAUCAUCAUCGGGAUGGACACUACUGCUAAGGGGAUUCCUCAGCAAUAAAUGUCCUAAAGGCAACCAUGUGGGGGAUGGAGUACACCGGUGAACACAUCGUUCACAAACACCUACAGGUUGCGAGCCUGCUAGUGUUCCACUGGACUGUCUAGAAGAGUCCGUGGUCGUCAUCCAUACUCUGCUAGAUGACAGAAUCAACAACAUCAACAUCGAGGCCUCUCAUCAUUUUAUCACACAUCACCUAUUACAUCUACCCAUGUUUUACCCCAACAUUUUCAUAGAUAUAAAAUACAUAUACAGUUUAAAUCAUUGAAAACAUGUAUAAAAACGUUCAUCCAACAUAGAUAGCAAGUAUUCAGAUAAUAUGCACACAUAGCAUGUAAUUUACAUAAAAUACUUCAUAUUUAUGUGUAAGCUGAAAGUAACUAUG
rnacentral:lncRNA from 1 species